GACGAACGCUGGCGGCGUGCUUAACACAUGCAAGUCGAACGGAAAGGCCCUGCUUUUGUGGGGUGCUCGAGUGGCGAACGGGUGAGUAACACGUGAGUAACCUGCCCUUGACUUUGGGAUAACUUCAGGAAACUGGGGCUAAUACCGGAUAGGAGCUCCUGCUGCAUGGUGGGGGUUGGAAAGUUUCGGCGGUUGGGGAUGGACUCGCGGCUUAUCAGCUUGUUGGUGGGGUAGUGGCUUACCAAGGCUUUGACGGGUAGCCGGCCUGAGAGGGUGACCGGGCACAAUGGGACUGAGAUACGGCCCAGACUCCAACGGGAGGCAGCAGGGGGGAAUAUGGCACAAUGGGCGGGAGCCUGAGGCAGCAACGCCGGGGGCGGGAUGACGGGCUUCGGGGUGUAAACCGCUUUCGCCUGUGACGAAGCGUGAGUGACGGUAAUGGGUAAAGAAGCACCGGCUAACUACGUG
rnacentral:rRNA from 1 species